rnacentral:rRNA from 1 species
UACGGAGGGUGCGAGCGUUGUCCGGAAUCAUUGGGCGUAAAGGGCGCGUAGGUGGCCCGGUCAGUUCGUGGUGAAAGCGCGGGGCUCAACCCUGCGUCGGCCAUGAAUACUGCCGCGGCUGGAUCACUGUAGAGGCAGGCGGAAUUCCGGGUGUAGCGGUGGAAUGCGUAGAGAUCCGGAAGAACACCGGUGGCGAAGGCGGCGAUCUGGACGAUGACUGACGCUGAGACGCGAAAGCGUGGGGAGCAAACAGG